rnacentral:lncRNA from 1 species
UGUGCUGUCUUAUGUGCUGGGAAGUUUUGUUGCCCUAACUCAGACUGACAAUGUUUGAACCAGCAGGUCUACAGCACAGUAACGUGCCAGCUGAACACUGAAGAACACACACACACACACACACACACCGUCCAUGAGGGCUUUGACGAGGCUAACCUAAAAUGACGUUCAGCUGCUAGGUGUGUGCUCUUACAACGCUACAGAGGAAUCAAUAUUUCACUUUUCAUAUUGUUACACUGCUCCGAAAAAAAGAGGAGGGAAAAAAACAGUUGAGCGUGAUCUGACACUGUUGUGUUGUUUCUCCUGUGCCAGGGAGAAGACUGAGACCUACCUUCUCAUCAAAAUCCCUGAAAGAGUGAAAUAAAACCAAGUCCUUCAUCCAUCCAGACCACUGUGGAGCUGAAGAGAUGGCCAGGUACCUAACAGGUAAAGCACUGCGCUCUAAUAAAGCAGACAGCAUGGCAGAAUUGGUCCCACUUCACCUUUAGGUUCUAGAAGGGCAUCAUCUGUAUUCUGAGGAGCAGCUGUAAAAAGCUCCAGUCCAAUGUUCAGAUUCCUCUCAUCAAAAGGCUUGAUCCCUCAGAGCUAGUGUUUGUGUUGCUACCAAAACACAAUAGACAGCAAAAGGUGAAGCUCAUCUACAGAGUCCA